rnacentral:lncRNA from 1 species
UUUGGAGGGGUGUUGUAUGUAUGUUUCAAUGCUGGGGCUAGAAUCCUAGAUCCCUAUGCUAGGUGGGCCCUCUACCACAAAGCUACAUCCUGGGCUCCCAGUUUUUUGUUUGUUAGUUUUUGUUUUGUUUUUAAAGAAUAAUUAUCCACAACUGGAAUUGAAAUUCUAGUCCAGCUGUUAGCAUUCCAGAGUCCUGAUUUAGCUAUUUCCAUGAGCAUGCAUGUAUUUUUUAGUGGUGCAAUCACAGGUUUGUUGAAUAAGAUUAAUGGAGUUGUUAUAAAUUAAGUGACCAAUGCUAAGAGGUGGCCAAGAGCUGGUCAGAGACUUUCAGAGCAAGUGGCACUUUAUGUCUAGUCAUUUUCUUGUUCUGUGUUUGUUGGAACCAAGGGCUAUUCAAAAGAGCUUCCACACAGUUAUCUGAAAGACCAGGGCUCUGAAAAGCAGCCAGCCAGCCACCAUCAGCACUCCUCCAGGUCAUAGGUGGGGAUUUGCACUUGACACUCAAUACCUGUUCAUUUGAGCCAGGCAGAAUGCAGAGGGAAAGAUCCUUGAUUAAGACAGGUCUGGCAAAAGUGUAGAACAUAAGUCUUUUAGAAGCUCCUGCCUAGGGCUCAUCGUAGGCUGGAUACAACCCACUUAGGUCUCAGAGCCUCUGAGCAAAGGCCCCGUAGGCUUGUCUCAGAGCAUAAGGACCUCUGAGGAGAAAAUGCUUGGUGUGCUGCCUGGGAAUGGGGUAGGGUCCAGUGAUGUCUGAUAUCGGGGUAGUGGCUGGGAGGUUCUUGAUUGCCUAAGCAGCCUUACAUCGUAUUGAAGGCCAGUCAAUUCUUGCUUCUGCUUAUGACUUGUAAAAUAGUAGCAUGAGGUGUGUGCUUGGAGACCUGUCAGUCUCCAGCAGUGGGCAGAAGAGAUAGGCGACAGGAGCAGAGGGAGAAAAGAGGGAGCUGGCUUACAGUCUUUGCCCUUCUCAGUUCUGAACUUCCCUGGCCUGGGCGCCCCUUGCUGUUGGGAGGAUCCCAUCCUCGAGUGCCUCCUAUCCUCCUGCCUUCCAGACAACUUCCAAUAGCAGUUCAAGUUUAGAAAGCUUCGUCUUCCUCUCUCCUCGUGGGAAGUGUGGCCAGUCUCAGUAAUACACUUAGGGAUUUUUUUUUUUUAACAACAAAGAUCUGAGCUCCCUUAGACUCCUUAAAGUGAAAGUUGGAAGAUAAAAAUAGUCACAUGAAUGGGGUCAUUGUUUCAUUUCUUAGCUAUGUGGAGGGAACUCUGCAAACUCUCUUUGGGGCACCCGGUUGGCAAUCGAGGGGAAUAGAGUGUAGGGACUUCUCAUUUGUCCUUUGCAACUCUGACUGAAAGAGAGUUGUUUUGGAGGCCAUCCCUCUUGAUACCCCAGAGAUCAUUCUUCGUUUUUUUGAGGCCAAUAUUUGGUUAUAAGGUACGGCAUUGGAUGAAAGGGUUGUUCUGUCAGCCUCUUGCAAAGAUUGAAACUGCACAGUCGGUUUGAUUUUAAUUACUUUAAAAAGCCAAUGCCAAGGGAAGAUUGUGCAUGUGUGUGUGUGUGCAUGUGUAUGUGUGUGUAUGUCUGUGUGUUUGUGUGUUUCUCUGUGUGUAUCUGUAUCUGUGUGUGUGUAUGUGUCUGUGUGUAUAAUGCACACAUGAUUUCUACAUUCAGCCUGUUGCUGCCUCUGUAGUCAUUAAGUUAGAACAGGGGAGAGGCAAAUUUCCAGCUAUUUCUAGCUUAGCUAGAAAUAAGGAAUCCCUUUUUUAAAAAGUCUUGAUAAUAUUUUAAAGUAUAAAUCUGGUUAGGAUCAUAAAUAUGAAUAGCUUAUAUAAACGUAUCUUUCUUGUAGGGUUUUUUCUUUUUUUGUAUUAAUUACCCAAAGCUUCAUCCAUCCUCAAACUUUUAAAGUUUAUUAUUAUUAUUAAAUUAAUGGGCAUUGUGUUUGUAAAUUUUUUAAAAAAUAUUAAUGUUUUAUUUAAAUGCCAUGCUGAACAGUUGUUCUUGCCAUGUGGCAACAAAAACAAGAGAUUUCGAUCAAUUUUGAUCAAUAUUUAGUGAUCUGAAACAUGUACUAUGUACAGAUGCAAUAAUACGGCUUUGAACUGAGUCCAGUGGCUGCCCAAGGCCUUUCAAUUCAGCUCAGUUCUGCAUUUCAUAUGGCUACUGUCAUGGCCUCUAUCUGACAUGCACACACCUUUGGUGUAUAUUUGGUGCUGGAGAGUCAUAUAUGCCAAUAUUCUCAGAUACGAUGGCUCUACCAAAAAAUAAAAAGAGUUGUUUAGCCAGUGCCCAAAGAAAAUCGUUUUUUUGAGGAAGAUGACUCAGCUCUUUUGCGUCCAGACACCUCAGUAAUUCCCACUGCCCAGCUCGGAGCCUUCCUGGAAUGCUCAUGGGCUGGGAGAAUAUGCGUUUUGCAAAUGAAGGAGAGGACAGUGUGAAUGGAUGCAAAUAUUCUCUGAGGAUUUGUGGGGAGGAGGUCUUAAGGUGUAUGUGAAAGGAAGAGUUGGGAGGGAGAAGGGUGAAGACACCUCAAGGGUGGGAGAGAGUUUUGGGUGAGGAAAUGUGUUUUUAAGUAUGUGCUAGUUCAGGUCAGGAGUUACAAACUUAGCAGCCUAAAGGCAGGGAGAUAAAUAAGAGGGUGGAGGGUGUGGGGACUGUGCCUACCUUAAAGGAGGCAGCUCACCUCAGCUCCAGACUGGAAAAUAAAGGGCUGGGCCAACAAUCGGCAUUUCAAAUUAAAAUACUAACGCUCACUGGUUUUUAAUUUAAGAAGUAAUUUAAAAAGUCUGAAACCACCAAGUGAGCCAGAUAUCUGGUUGAACCUGAGGCCAGCAGUUUGCGACCCCUUGCCUUACACAGUUAGCCUUCUCCCAGGUAUGUAUAGGCUUAUAUUCUUUGCCAUAGAGACAGUGGUUAAAUAUAUAUAAGUGUGGGGGGGGGUGUUAGUUCAUUUCUACUUUAUCUCUCAGAGUUAAGCUUUGUUAUAGGAAUAACAGC